CAGACAGUACGAAGAUACUAUAGUGGAGCAUUUACUGGUAACGAUUUGUGAUUUUUAUUCAAGCCUAUGGAUCGUAUUUCUGCUUGUCUUUACGGCGGUUUGAAUAUGCAGCCUUCAGCAAAUUUUGAAAUAUCGUUUAAAACUACAUUGUACAUGCAGUUCCGUGCAGACAAUCCUUAUUAAUUAAUUAAAAUUAGACAUCACUUUUUAAUCCUAAUCAAGUUUUUAACGCCAAAUCGUGUUGAAAGUACUGUACGUAAUGCUGAUGUUAGAAAUAAUAGUAUUCAUAAUUCCGUAUUUCAAGAAGAAAUUUUUCGACUUGUUGAAGACUCGUAGGAACCAUCAAGGCGGCCAGUUGUAGUUUCAUUUAUCCAUUUUCGUAACGUCAUAGCGACGUCAGAACUAUCUACAGUAGUAUAUAUAAUAUAUAUACAGUAACUUAGUUUUUACUGUACAGGAUGGAUUGCUAAAAGGGGGAUAAAUCACUUCAGUCUUUAUAGUAUAGUUGUAUAUUAAAUGCAAACUUUUUGUUUCUUAAUAUUAUCCAGUCGUAAGAAGAGUUUUUAUAUUUAGAUUCUGAGAAACAGCAAGCUAUUAACUUAUUUCUUGGAAAGUUUAUCCCAGGCGAAAAUUGUCUUCCAUUGUGGGAUCAUCCAACUGAUUAUUAUAUGCAUCAUGUAUCAAAUCAAGAUGGCGGCAACUCUGGUCUGCCUGCAGGGAAAAGGUACAGUUUAACUUACAUCAUGUUUUGUUGUCCAUGCAAGGGUGAAGGAAGCUUGUGAAAGUUAGGGGGCUCGACUCCCACGAGGCGCCACCACGGUAGACGCCGAGCGGGAAAAAUUUUGAAAAUUUUGAAUCGUCAGAUCGCCGGAAAUGUCAUUUUCAGGGUCUUAUUUAGCAC
rnacentral:lncRNA from 1 species